rnacentral:misc_RNA from 1 species
AAGUCGUAACAAGGUUUCCGUAGGUGAACCUGCGGAAGGAUCAUUAAUUAUAUGUAAUUAUUAUUGAUUAUAUUUUAAUUAGUCACAUAAUUUUUAGUUAUUAGUAUAAAAUAAUAAAGUUGAAUUUAUUUGACUUUUAUUUAUAAUGAUAAUUAAAAAUUUAAUGACAAUUUUGAUUCUUUUUAGUUCUCUAUUAUUAAUUUUGAUUUAAUAAUCAAUUUUAAUUAUAAGAACUAGUAAAUUCAGGGGUAAAAUCCUGAAUAUAAACUACUGUUUCAAACUAAUUUUAAUGCUAAAUUAUAUUCUUAAUUAUUAAGUAAUUUUAAUUAUUUAAUAACUAAUAACAAUGGAUCUCUUGGCACU